GGGCUGUUAGAUCAGUUGGGAGAGCGCUGGAUUUGCAUUCCAGAGGUCGUCGGUUCAAGCCCGAUACGGUCCA
rnacentral:tRNA from 1 species